rnacentral:rRNA from 1 species
UGAGUACGAGAUGCUACGGCAUCGAAGCAGUCUAUGUCAUACUUCCAAGAAAAGCUUGCACUGUCAUAAACAAAGAGUGCCUGUACCAUAACCGACACAGGUGGGUAGGUAGAGUAUACUAAGGGGCGCGAGAUAACUCUCUCUAAGGAACUCGGCAAAAUGACUCCGUAACUUCGGGAGAAGGAGUGCCUUAUUUAUAAGGUUGCAAUAACAAGAUCCAAGCAACUGUUUACCAAAAACACAGGUCUCCGCGAAGUCGUAAGACGAUGUAUGGGGGCUGACGCCUGCCCAGUGCCAGAAGGUUAAAGAAGUUGGUUAGCAUUCGCGAAGCUGAUAACUGAAGCCCUGGUGAACGGCGGCCGUAACUAUAACGGUCCUAAGGUAGCGAAAUUCCUUGUCGGGUAAGUUCCGACCCGCACGAAAGGCGUAAUGAUUUGGAUACUGUCUCGGAGAGGGGCUCGGUGAAAUAGACUUGUCUGUGAAGAUGCGGACUACCUGCACCUGGACAGAAAGACCCUAUGAAGCUUUACUGUAACUUGAAAUUGAAAUUGGACUUUAUUUGCGCAGUAUAGGUGGGAGGCGUUGAGAAUAACCUUGAGGGGUUAUUGGAGCCAUCAGUGAGAUACCACUCUUGUAAUGUUAGAUUUCUAACUUUGUAUCAUUAUCUGGUCAAAGAACAGUUUCAGGCGGGCAGUUUGACUGGGGCGGUCGCCUCCCAAACGGUAACGGAGGCGCACAAAGGUUUCCUCUGAACGGGUAGAAAUCGUAUCUAGAGUGUAAAGGCAUAAGGAAGCUUGACUGUGAGACCUACAAGUCGAGCAGUGACGAAAGUCGUCUUAGUGAUCUGACGGUGCUGAGUGGAAAGGCCGUCACUCAACGGAUAAAAGUUACUCUAAGGAUAACAGGCUGAUCUCCCCCAAGAGUUCACAUCGACGGGGAGGUUUGGCACCUCGAUGUCGGCUCAUCGCAUCCUGGGGCGGUAGUACGUCCCAAGGGUUGGGCUGUUCGCCCAUGAAAGCGGUACGCGAGCUGGGUUCAGAACGUCGUGAGACAGUUCGGUCCAUAUCCGGUGUAGGCGUUAGAAUAUUGAGAGGAGCCUUCUCUAGUACGAGAGGACCGAGAAGGACAUACCUCUGGUGUACCAGUUAUCGUGCCAACGGUAAACGCUGGGUAGCUAUGUGUGGAGUGGAUAACCGCUGAAAGCAUCUAAGUGGGAAGCCCACCUCAAGAUAAGUAUUCUCA